CACCUACGGGGCGCAGCAGUAGGGAAUCUUCCACAAUGGGCGCAAGCCUGAUGGAGCAACACCGCGUGAGUGAAGAAGGGCUUCGGCUCGUAAAACUCUGUUGUUGGAGAAGAACGUGCGUGAGAGUAAAUGUUUACGCAGUGACGGUAUCCAACCAGAAAGUCACGGCUAACUACGUGCCAGCAGCCGUGGUAAUACGUAGGGGGUAAGCGUUAACCGGAUUUGUUGGGCGUAAAGCGAGCGCAGGCGGCUGCUCUG
rnacentral:rRNA from 1 species